CGGCCUGAGGUCGGACGAGGCUACCCGCUGAAUUUAAGCAUAUUACUAAGCGGAGGAAAAGAAACUAACGAGGAUUCCCUCAGUAACGGCGAGUGAAGCGGGGACGAGCCCAGCCCAGCGCCGAAUCCGG
rnacentral:ncRNA from 1 species